rnacentral:misc_RNA from 1 species
UCGGCCAACGGCGACUCCACCAUCGGUUCGAUGAUCGCCAAGGCGAUGCAGAAGGUCGGCAACGAGGGCGUCAUCACGGUUGAAGAAGCCAAGUCGCUCGACACCGAAGUCGACAUCGUCGAGGGCAUGCAGUUCGACCGCGUAUCUCUCGCCCUACUUCGUGACCAAUCCCGAGAAGAUGACCGCCGAGCUGGAAGACGCUUACGUGCUCCUGCACGAGAAGAAGCUCUCCGGCCUCCAGGCCAUGCUGCCCGUGCUCGAAGCCGUGGUGCAGACCGGCAAGCCGCUGCUGAUCGUCGCCGAAGACNNNNNNNNNAGCUCUCGCGACGCUGGUCGUCAACCGUCUGCGCGGCGGCCUCAAGGUGGCAGCCGUCAAGGCUCCGGGCUUCGGCGAUCGCCGCAAGGCCAUGCUGGAAGACAUCGCGAUCCUCACCGGCGGCCAACUGAUCUCCGACGAUCUCGCGUGACGCUGAAGAUGCUCGGCCGCGCCAAGAAGGUCGUGAUCGACAAGGAAAACACCACCAUCGUCAACGGCGCCGGCAAGAAGGCCGACAUCGAGGCGCGCGUGAACCAGAUCAAGGCGCAGGUCGAGGAAACCACCUCGGACUACGACCGCGAGAAGCUUCAGGAGCGUCUGGCCAAGCUCGCCGGCGGCGUCGCGAUCAUUCGCGUCGGCGGCGCGACCGAGAUCGAGGUGAAGGAAAAGAAGGAUCGUGUCGAGGACGCGCUCAACGCAACCCGCGCGGCCGUUCAGGAAGGUAUCGUUCCGGGCGGCGGCACCGCGCUGCUGCGCGCCAAGAAGGCCGUCGGCCGGAUCAACAAUGACAACUCCGACGUGCAGGCCGGCAUCAACAUCGUGCUGAAGGCGCUGGAAGCUCCGAUCCGCCA